UCAAAGUUUCAUGUUUACAUAACUGUAAGCACCGCAGGGCAUAUUGGGCAUACCUGUUGUAGCACUACCUUGGGCCAACGCUUAGUCGAUCGCUGGACAAAAACAUAGCUGUCAAAGGGUAGCAUAGAGAAGGAAGAAAAAAGGUAAACAAGAAAAAGUGAGUCGAGAGGAUUAAAGUUAUUUGCAAGUGAAAAUUACUAAUAAUUUCAGUGGAUUGAAACAGUUUAUUGGCAGUGCAUUAAAGUUACAUUGUAAGUAAACAAUUCGAAUGUAAUUGAAGAUCUAUCUAACUAUCGCGGCAAAUUAGGCCCUACAGGUGAAUUACAUUCAGCCGCGUGCAAUUCGUCAGUGCCUGAAAGGAAAUACUUACCGUAGGAUUGGUGUAGAUUGAGCCCGUUAUCUGUGAGUAAAAAAGUAAACAAAACAGGAAAAUUAAGCUGUUAACUUAUAUUACUGAUUUGAACAUAGGAGUCGGUGUCGUAAGUCGAGGAAGGUUGAGACAUCAGGAUUAAUUUGGAGAGAAACUAUUCAUUUUUAAGCUGCGCGAAUACGGCUGCUAUAAAAAAGGUUUGUGAUUAAUCCGAACAAACUUAAAAAUGAAUAAAGCUGUUUUUAACCUAAACGACACCGAGGUAACUGGCUACAACUGUGCGGUCUGCAACCGGCCGGAUCAUGCCGAGGAUGAAAUGGUCGCCUGCGACUGUUGCCGAAGAUGGUUUCACUUUGGAUGUGCCGAAGUUGGAAGCGAGGUAGGUGAUAUUUCUUGGAGCUGUCCAGAAUGCAAAAGCAAGCCGAAUGAUGGAAAUGCGGAAGACAGUGGCAAACUUGUGCCAGCCGCAGAUAACGAUAAAGCAGGAAGCGGGGGAACGUAUAAACCAGUCGUUAAUCCUGCUACAGUUCCGGAUGAGGUUUUGCAGAGUUUACCCGAGAAAACAGGCACAUUAUCGUUCCAGGAGUUAGAGCUGCAGAAGAUAGAGGCAUCUCGUAAAAGGCAGGAAGAACAUAUGGAGAUGGAAAGGGUCUUAUAUAAGCGACGGCUGGAAGUACAACGAGAGCUGUUUGAAAAGAGACAGCAGAUAGAGCGUGAAAAGCGGCGGAUGGAACUCGAGUUCGAAAGGCAGAGUCUGCAAAUGGCGAUUGCAGAAGAAGAAGAGCAUCAUAAGCAGCAACAGCAGAUUAGAGCCGAACUGACUCGCAAGUUAGAACAGCUGCGAAUGAGGCGGGUAGCAAAUUCACCGGAAGGGAUUCAAGCCAUAUGCGAAUUAGAGAAGCCUGGAGAGGCCUUUGAUGCAAAAGCAACCACGAAUGACGAAAAUCACCCGGGUAACAAACAGCUGGGUGAUAUUCGGGGAACGUACCACAAACAUUCGACCCCAAAGCAACCCGGGCAACGUCCACCGUUGCAAAUAAGUCAUUCGAAGGAAUCGGAACCUACUGAACGUCAGGGGACACUGAAUACAAAGCAAAACACGCCAGCACAAUCUGUAGGAAGCCAUUCAAAUCUGGAUGAUGUUUCGGAGUCAGAAGCGGAGAGCGAGUGCUCCAUACGAUCACGAUCACAGCGAGACACUCGCCGGGAAAGGGGCCCAACGAGAGCCCAGUUGUCGGCCAGGCAGUUUUUAGCCAAGAAGCUUCCUACAUUUACCGGGCGGCCAGAAGAUUGGCCGAUGUUUAUCUCAAGUUUCGAGACAGCAAAUCAAGCUUGUGGGUUCUCUAACGUCGAAAACCUAGGACGGUUGCAAGAGAGCUUGAAAGGUCAAGCAUUAGAAGCAGUCCGAAGUCGCCUGCUAUGGCCAGAUGCCGUGCCUCAGAUCAUCGAAUCUCUUCGGAUGCUGUACGGACGGCCCGAGCAAUUAUUGAAUAUGCUGUUGGUCAAAGUUCGGAAGGCGGAACCACCCAAGACCGAUCGUUUGGCGACCUACAUUGGUUUCGGUAUGACGGUGCAGCAACUCGUCGAUCAUUUGGAAGCAAGUGAUCUAAAAGACCACUUGGUAAACCCUAUGCUGAUCCAAGAGUUGGUAGAAAAACUACCAGCUAGUACAAAAAUGGAGUGGGUGCGCUACAAACGAAGGAAGCACCGCGUAACUCUUCGAACAUUAUCCGAUUUUCUGUCGGAGAUUGUGAGGGAUGCCAGCGAGGCCACGUUGUACUGCGGAGGAUUUUCGCAACUUGAAAGUAACCCAAGAAGCGGGAAGGGUAAACUGAAAGAGCGCGAAGAGUUCUUAAAUGCUCAUUGCGCAUCCGAAACUGAUAAUCGGCGCGAGGUAGAAGGAAAGAAGCCGUGAAAAAUCUGCUCUCGGUCAGAUCACCGCAUCCGUAACUGCCCCGAAUUUCGUAAAUUAAAUCUGGCGAUGCGCUGGGAGGCGGUACGAAAAUGGAGUCUGUGUAAAAAUUGUUUGAAUGAUCACGGAGAUUCUCUUUGCAAACUCAGUUUUCGUUGCAAUGUCGGCAGCUGCAGUGAAUCGCACAAUCCGCUUCUACACCCGGAAGAAGCUUACGCUGAUUGCAAUGUGCAUCGAUUCCAGCAGAAAUCGGUGAUCUUUCGCACGGUCCCAGUAACACUCUACAAUGGGAAGUAUGCGAUAGAUACGAUAGCUUUCCUCGACGAAGGUUCCUCAUACACGCUGGUUGAGAAUGUUUUGACGAAACUGUUGAAGACGAAAGGUGUUGUUCAACCGCUUCGUGUAACAUGGACGGCAGGCGUUUCUCGGGUGGAAAAAGACUCACAGAGGUUGAAUUUGUCGAUUUCAGCUCGAGGUUCCACCCAGCGCUUCCAGAUUCAGGACGCACACACUGUAGAGGAGCUGAAAUUGCCGAAACAGACGCUGGAUUUGAAAGAAGUUGCAAAUCAGUAUGUGCAUCUUCGAGACUUGCCAGUACCGGAUAGUAAACACAGCGUUCCUCGAAUAUUAAUUGGGUUAAAAGACCUUCACCUGUACACUCCACUCGAGACUCGAGUUGGACGCCCCGAUGAGCCCAUAGCGGUCAAAUCGAAGCUAGGUUGGACGGUAUAUGGUCCGAUACGGAGCGCCGAUUUGAAAGAAGAGUUUGUUGGUCAUCAUUCUUGUGGUGGCGUUUCCAAUCAAGAGUUGCACGACUUACUGAAAGAGCAUUAUGCGUUGGAAGAGGCAGGAGUUACUGCAGCACUACUGCCGGAAUCGUCCGAAGACCGGAGAGCGAGAGAAAUUUUGGAUAGCACAACGGUUAGGAUCGGUGAUCGCUUUGAGACGGGGUUGUUGUGGAUAGUGGACGAACCCAGUUUUCCAGACAGCUAUGCCAUGGCCCUGAGACGGAUGAAGGGACUUGAAAAGCGACUUCUAAAAGACGAAAUUCUGUACAACAGGGUGCGAAGCACAAUAGCUGAUUAUCUGACGAAAGGAUAUGCUCACAAAGCGACGUUCCAAGAAUUGCAUGAACAUCCAGCCUCCAAGGUGUGGUAUUUGCCAUUAAACAUCGUGAUAAACCCCAGGAAGCCGGAGAAACUCCGUCUAGUGUGGGACGCAGCAGCAGCUGUUGGUGGAGUCUCGUUAAAUUCCCAGUUGCUUACCGGACCAGACAUGCUGACAUCUCUACCGUCCGUUAUUUGUCGUUUUCGGGAACGAGAGGUCGGGUUCGGAGGUGAUAUAAAAGAAAUGUAUCACCAACUGCGCAUCAGAAAAGAGGACCAGCAAGCUCAGCGAUUCUUGUUUAGAAAUGAUCCUUGCGCGCGUCCUGAGGUAUAUGUUAUGAAUGUUGCUACAUUUGGAUCAACCUGUUCCCCAUGUUCCGCUCAAUUUGUGAAAAACAAGAACGCAGACGAAUUCUUCUCACAGUAUCCAGAGGCGUCGAGGGCCAUAGUAGACAACCACUAUGUCGAUGACUAUUUUGACUGCACUGAUACUGUGGGAGAAGCGAUAAAACGAGCCAAAGACGUUCGUUAUAUUCACUCUCGAGGCGGCUUCGACAUCCGAAAUUGGGUGGCUAGUUCAAAUGACGUCUUACGGGCGCUAGGUGAAGCAAAGACGGAACAGCAAGUUCAUUUCCAUCAAGACAAACAUACGGGGACUGAGCGAGUUCUAGGUAUUGUAUGGAAUCCGAAGAGCGACGAGCUUUGUUUUUCUACGAGGUUGCGUGACGAACUGAUACCUUUCAUAAGUGGUGAACGAUGGCCAACUAAAAGAGCGGUACUGAGUUGCGUGAUGAGCUUUUUCGAUCCGCUAGGCCUGCUCGCUCCAUUCACCAUCUACGGAAAGAUGCUGAUACAGGACCUCUGGCGAAGAGGCUGCGAGUGGGAUGAGGAGAUAGACGAGGAAUCGAUGAUGAAGUGGAGAAAUUGGAUUGAGCGGCUGCCGGAAAUCGAAAGAAUCAGGAUGCCUCGGUAUCACUUCGUGAAAGGGCAGGCGCCGGACUACAGUACUCUACAACUGCACGUAUUUGUAGAUGCUAGCUCGAACGCAUACGGCUGCGUUGCAUAUUUCCGGAUUUUGAUAGCUGGAAAACCGCACUGUUCACUUGUAAUGGCGAAGUCAAAGGUAGCUCCGUUAAAGCAACUGACGAUCCCGCGCCUAGAAUUACAAGGGGCGGUUCUGGGAUCAAGGCUGAUGAACACCAUUAUGGAAACUCAUUCACUGCCCAUUAAGCAGCGGUUUAUUUGGACGGACUCUAGAACUGUUCUUUCCUGGAUUCACUCCGAUCAGCGAAAAUAUAAACAAUUUGUCGCGUUUCGGAUUGGAGAGAUCCAUACCCUUUCAAAACAGUGCGAGUGGCGCUGGUUACCUACUAAGCACAACGUGGCAGAUGACGUUACUAAGUGGCAUGCGGGACGGCGAUUUGAAUCCGAUACUCCAUAGUUCCAGGGAGCAACAAUCUUAAAUCAGUUCGAAGAAACAUGGCAGCAGCAACCACAAGUAGUACCGAACGUGUUGGAGGAAAUUCGGGCCGUUCAUUUGUUUCAUGACGUUUUAGUCCUGAAGCAAAUCGUCGAUCCUCUCCGCUUCUCUAAAUGGAAGGUUCUAGUUCGGACUGUGGCAUGUGCAUAUCGUUUCAUUUAUAACUGUCAGCGAAAGGUUGCAAAGCUGAGUAUCGAAGCACUUCCAGUAACAGAAAAGGUGAAGAAACUCGCGAAAGUGCAUCACUCUGUUGUCGCAGUACCAAUAAAGCGUGAGGAAUACCAGAAGGCUGAAUCCUACCUAUGGCGAGUGGCCCAAGCAGAGGUGUACGAAGAGGAGGUGAAGAUACUCAUGAAAAAUCAACAACUUACUCAUACAGACCAUUAUCGACUAGAGAAAGAUAGCCAACUUUACGACAAGUCUCCCUUCUUGGACGAUAGUAACGUAAUAAGAAUGGAGGGAAGGACAAAAAAUGCUCCAUUCGUUCCGUUUGAGUUACGCUGUCCAAUCAUUCUACCGAAGGGACAUCGCAUAACUACGUUGCUAGUGGAAUAUUUCCAUCAGAAAAUGGGUCACGCGAACACCGAAACGGUUGUAAAUGAGAUGCGACAGCGGUUCUGUAUAAAGCAUCUCAGAGCAAAGCUGAAGCGCGUAGUAAAACUAUGUGUACGUUGUAAGAUCAGGAAGAGCAGCCCAGUAAUCCCAAGAAUGGCACCACUUCCGGUUCAGCGUAUUACGCCCUACAAGCGGCCGUUCAGUUUUACAGGCAUCGACUAUUUCGGGCCAGUGCAAGUGACAGUAGGACGUCGAACGGAAAAACGUUGGAUCGCCUUGUUUACAUGCUUAACGACGAGGGCAGUGCAUCUUGAAGUCGCUCACAGUCUAACGACGCAAGCAUGCGUUAUGGCGAUAAGACGGUUUACCUGCCGGCGGGGAGCUCCACUAGAAAUCUUUUCAGACAAUGGUACAAAUUUUAAAGGUGCGAGUAAGGAGGUUGUGAAACGGAUAUAUGCAGAUUGCGAUGAGACGUUCACCGAUGCUACUACUAGGUGGAAUUUCAAUCCACCCUCAGCACCCCAUAUGGGCGGGGCGUGGGAACGAUUGGUACGCUCGGUGAAGGCAGCUCUCAGUGAGCUAGAUGAUGGGCGGAAGUUGACGGAUGAAAUUCUUCUUACCACGUUGGCGGAAGCAGAAGAUCUUGUAAACUCACGACCGUUGACGUAUAUCCCUAUAGAGUUAGGAGCGGAAGCAGCACUAACCCCAAAUCAUUUCCUGCGCUCUUCUGUGGCGGGUGAUGUAACACAGUCGAUUCGAAAAAGCGAUCAAGCUCAAGCGUUGCGUGACUCGUAUAAGCGAUCACAACAUUUGGCAGACCAGAUUUGGAAGCGCUGGAUCUCGGAAUACUUGCCAACACUGAACCAGCGAAGCAAGUGGCAUGACGAAUCAGAUCCGGUUGAAGUAGGCGAUAUAGUGUACAUUGUGGACGAGAACAGUCGUAAAGGCUGGGUUCGUGGGAUCGUUACUACCGUCUUCAAGUCGAAGGAUGGCCGGAUUAGGCAGGCAUUGGUAAGAACAACAAAAGGUGAGAUGAAAAGACCGGUGGCUAAGUUGGCGGUGCUUGAAGUGAGAGAGCGUAAAUCUGGCGUUAAGGCGGAGCCAACACCAGUGUUACAGGGCGGGGUUAUGUAAGCACCGCAGGGCAUAUUGGGCAUACCUGUUGUAGCACUACCUUGGGCCAACGCUUAGUCGAUCGCUGGACAAAAACAUAGCUGUCAAAGGGUAGCAUAGAGAAGGAAGAAAAAAGGUAAACAAGAAAAAGUGAGUCGAGAGGAUUAAAGUUAUUUGCAAGUGAAAAUUACUAAUAAUUUCAGUGGAUUGAAACAGUUUAUUGGCAGUGCAUUAAAGUUACAUUGCCCUACAGGUGAAUUACAUUCAGCCGCGUGCAAUUCGUCAGUGCCUGAAAGGAAAUACUUACCGUAGGAUUGGUGUAGAUUGAGCCCGUUAUCUGUGAGUAAAAAAGUAAACAAAACAGGAAAAUUAAGCUGUUAACUUAUAUUACUGAUUUGAACAUAGGAGUCGGUGUCGUAAGUCGAGGAAGGUUGAGACAUCAGGAUUAAUUUGGAGAGAAACUAUUCAUGUAAGCUGAAUUCAUUUGUAUACCACUAUAAAUAGAUAUAACAAGAAUAAUAAUUACAGUUUUAAGCUGCGCGAAUAUAUAAAAGCUAUAAAAAAGGUUUGUGAUUAAUCCGAACAAUAACAAAUUACGAAACAUUUCCAGGACACGUGUUAUAAUCUAAUAUUAUUAAUUAGUUAAAGAAUUUGCGUUUUGACGUCGUCUUAUCAGAAUCCGAUACUAACUUAGUGACAGGACUAAGCUAGCGCCGGAUUGCGCUGCGUGAUGCCCCACAAGAAAAGGACCGAUGAAAUUUAAUGCACUAUGCUAUAUUUAUCAUUAGUGGAGAAAAAAUUAAGUAGAAGAGUUGUUUUAUACUACAUUUACGCGAUAAAGGCACAAAACCUACAUAUAAUUUUCUUUUCUAAGCUAAUACUAUAUAAAAAUAGUGAUGAUAAUAUUUCGUCAGCUCCUUGGUUUAUUUUAGGCUGUUGAUAUUGGGAUACUGUUAAAUUAAAAUAAUUUGUUUUUUAAACAGGGCUAUCAUAAUAAUCAUAAUAAAUUAUCAUUAGGGCUCAAGUCAUAAAGUAGUUUAUAUACAUCAUAACAUCCAAAACUAUGAGUGUGUCACAAAUCCCCGACUAUGUACGGGGAACGUGCCAUUUGAGCCAAUAUGUUCUGAUUCCUGAUGAGUGUGUCAUGUAAUCCUUGAUUUUAUGACGCAAUCUUUUAAUUGCUGAUUAUUGUUGUCACUUAAAAUAGCUAUAUAAUUGUACCACCUCUACAUAACGAUUGACACAAUUAUGAUGCCAAUUGGUAGAAAAUUACUGUCCUACAAGUUUAUUCAUGCCGUUAUAAUUGUCAGUGCGCACAUACGUGUCAACCAGAAUGUCCAGUCUUGUCAUAAAGAUAAUUAAAACCGAUCGCGCGAGAAUAGUUUCUAACCAAUCAUAUGAUUUAUCGAACGAUUACUACCGUUAUAUAUAUGCUUGUAGAACCUUAAACCAUAUUUUUCACAUAGUUUCAACACAUCGACACCCUUUGAGCAAUCAAUAUAGCGGUUUUAUGAUUAUAGCACUCAGCGCAUAUGUCAACCUACCGCUGCGGUGUAACCUAGCUGUACUCGACGAAUGGAUAAACGUGCCGUGACAUACUCAGUUCAAAUCUAAUUUAUCUUUAUGGUAAAACGAUUAUCGUGUCCCAAGACACGCCGGGUAUGAAGCGUCAAUUUUGUUGACACUCUCGGCAGAUCAUUUUCAUAUAUUUUAUCAUCGAGCUUUUCUUCCGAGCGAUUCGAUGCAGAUGCUUGGUAUGUACCUAAGUAGUUAGCUUUCGGCCACUAAUACCUUCCGGUAGCACACCUAUGUAUAACGAACUCCGAGCUAGAUUCGAUUGCCAAGUUCACCUUUUUUUGCGCUGAACAAACAUGUUGCGGUAAGCAUAUUGCUAUAACGACAAGUGCUUACAGUUAAAAGUAAAAUAAAAAAACUGGCUCUCGAUCCUACCUUCGCCGAUCGUCAGUACAGUGGACAAAGUCCUCGGUUAAUGCAUGGGGAAGUCGUGUGAACUAACAUUGGCAUUGAUCUGAUUCAUAUAGGUUCGCAAACUGGAUGCGGGGAACUGGAAAUUACGAUACAGAUGGACAUUUCAGAUCGAAUGUUCAAAUAAGAAAGGGUUACUAAGUGAACAUUCCAGUUUGGCGAAGUUUGCUUGAUGUGUUCUUGAGAGUGGUUGGGCAUUGCCGGCGGUCCAGCAGCAGGAGAACAACCUAAAUGCAAGCCUCCUGUUCGAACUUCGUAGCUGAUCGGCGUAACACGAGGCUGAAUAGUUAAAUGGGCGUUAAUAGGCAAAGUUCCAGCACACGAUGCCAAGGAGACUAGAUGCUCAGAGCUUGCUAUUGGGUUAGAAUGGCUAUUUUGUGAAGUAACUAGUUUCCUGGUAGCACAAAGGUGGGAUUACUCAAUUCAUAUUGACAACACCUCGUCAGGUUGCUCGUAGGCUUGGUCCAGUCGAUAUUAGCCCAUACGUUCAAGGUCUAAAACUUUUAUGAGCACUUGAACGGAUGUGUGCCGAUCACCGUAUGUAAAUAUUUUCUUUAUAAUGAAAUCAGUUACAUUACCACAAAUGCUUAAUUGAUAAUUAAUAACGUGAUGUUUAAUUAGUGAUAAUGUUAGCAACGUUAGAAAAAAUAUGGUAGUUUUUCGAAAUGGUGUAAGAAUAUCUCCGGUAUAGCUUCACAAAUUUUAUGGUUAUCCGAAUCUGACUUAAACAUUUUCAGUUGAGCUUUUAGAACAAAGCACAUUUUUCGUAUUCAAUAUCAAAAUAUUUCCUAUGAUUCGUGGAUUUUUUUUUGAAUCCCAAAGUUCGUUAAUUUUUUAUUUCCGGAAUUCAGAUUUUAUUUUAGCGGAUGGAAAUUUAUUUUUUCAAGGUAACAAUGCUCUGAUACAAUCUGUAAAACUGGCGUGGUACAAAAUUUCACACCGAUCAUUUUAAACAUCGCAUGAAGCCUGCACAGUUGCCAAGCCUAAAUAAUAUCGAGCUACUGCACAGUGCACUUUUGGUACACAUAAAAAAAAAAUUUCGGUUGAAAUUACUAUUUUAGAGGGGUAAAUUAAUUACAUUGUACCCACAAUUUUCAGCUGAUAAUAUUAUGAUUUCGCUGCAACCACGUAAACAAUUAUUUCUACCAUAUUAAUUUAUCUUUGGUUUCUGUAGUUUUCACUAUGUUUGUAGUAUAUUCAUCUCACCGUAUGGUAUUCGUUUUUAUUAUGAAAGUAGUCAAGUUGAGAACUAAUAUUCUCCCGUGAUGAUUUAAGUUCAUAGUAAAUUUAACCAUACACGAUAUACUUUUUACUGUAAGAUUUUGCUACAUACCUAACAAAUAUAAUGUCACAAAUAAGUGCGUUGUUCUGCUAAUAGUUAUGAAUGCAUUGAGGGGUCCAGUUAUUUAGAAAAUAUACUUUAUUUACGAGUACUUACGGAUGACUAUGAUGAAGUUUUAGCUCAAAUUCCAGACAGAAUUCAACUAGUCUGGUUUAUGGUCAUCCUAAAAGAAUUAAUUACAUCGACAGUUUGGCAUACCACUGUUAAAAUUUCAUUUUAAACUUACCACUAGAUUUUCCAACAAUGUUUUCCGGACAUGUGAUUGUGUAUGUUAAAUUAUAUUUAUUUUGCAGAACAUUUGUACUCACAAUAAAAUAAGCAAUGCAAAUGAGCUUGUUGCGACGAAAAACAAAAACAAGUUAAUUGGAUCGAAAUGGCGCGCGUCAACAUUCCCUUGACACGUAGAAAUGCUAUGUUUCUAGUACAUUUAAACGGAAAUCAUAGUCAGCUGAACUUUGUCGGUACAUUACAUUUAAUUUUACCAUAAUCAUGGUAAAAUUUGACCUUAUAACAAGAAAAUGACGGGACGAUAACAACACGCAUAAUAAAUAUUACCGGAAAUGAAGUGAAUUUUAACACAAAAGUAUAGUUGGUUUAAAUAACACUAGUUUACAAAUUUUGGGUUAAUUGCAUGAAGUGAUGACUAUGACUAUGAUCUACCACCUACUGUAGCAAGGCACAACCGGUAGCAUGGACUGACCUUCCUGCAUAAUUUGUUCAAGUUUUACAUUCUGGAUAUCUUCAGCAUAUUAUUGUAUGAAGGGCCAAAAUAGGGUGGGCUAACCCGUAAGCUUAAGCGCCUUUUGCGGGAUUGUUGAGAGUCUCCUUCCAAUGACAUCAUCAUAUAUCCAAACGCAAAACAAGCCAUUAUACUGGAUGUUGUCCCAGUGAGUGGGGAGAAGAGCCCGCCUCCAAUCUACGAGAUGUUAAUAAUAGGAAGUUGACAGUUCCACUCUCCCUAUCCACCAUCGUUUCAAUCAGGUGCCCUGGUGGUCCCACCCGAUCCCAAGGUAUCAAAUCAGAUCAAUAUAUGUUUUCUAUAUAACUACUACAAUGUGUCUAUUUGCAAAUAUUUGCUACUCUAUUACUACAGUUUAGUGAAAAAAGUCAGCUACAACUACGCAUGCAUCAUAUUCUACUUUUGUUAAUAAUUUUAAUGUAAGAGGAAAGCGUGUACUAUCCAUAGAGUUCAGUAAGAGAAAAGACAGCAUUAGUUAUUACAUCCACAUAAACUUAGGUUAACAUAAAUAUAAAGGAUAUGCCAACCUGUUUGAAGUGUUUCGUGACAAGCAAAUUGGUUAAAGUCGUUCAUCCUGUAGAGAAGUACAACACUUUUUGCCGUAACCUAUCUCAUCACGAAAGUGAUACUGAAUACCAAAAGUAUCGAUUUUCAUGACAGUCCAAUCCGUUUCGGGAAAGCGUCGUGUAUCAUAUUUGGCAAGCCCUCGACUCCUUUGGAUUACCUAACUUCUAUAAUAUACUGGAAUUCGUUGAAUAGAUUAUAUAACGAUAGAUUAAAUGAUUGAAUGAUAGUUAAAAUUACGGUUAUUGACACUUGAUUAUUUACAGAAACUAAAAACAAAAUUAUCUACCAAGAUAUUUAUUAUAGGUAUACUAGAUAAAAUUCAAUGCAGAUGAAUAUAGUAAGUAAAAUUCAAUGCCACGGGCCUGCGUAAAAUAAUAUUAUACACUUACCCAUACCUCUCAGUCUCAGUUGCUUCGGUUGUUGUUUUCAUUCGUUUUUAUUUUAUUUUAUUUUUUAUUUUAUUUAUUUAUUUUUUUUGCAUUUUUAUUUAUUUAUUUUUUUAUAUUUUAUUAUUAUUAUUAUAAUUAUAAUUAUUAUUAUUGUUUUAUUUCUUCAUGCUCUUCCAAUAUCUAUAUUUAUUUACCCCUACCUUGCCCUCAUCUGAUUCUCCUUCCGAAAUUUCACUUGCUUCGUUUUGAUAUAUUUGUUCUGCUUUUCUUUUAAGCCUUUUCCUUAUCCUUUGCCAGAACAUUCCAAUUUAUCUCAUUCAUGUCAUCUAGUUUAUCUAAAUCUUGUAUCAGGGCGUUUUCCCAUGUAUAACUUGGCCUGCCUUCUUUUUUCUUUCUACAUCUUAAUGCGUAUGCAAGUCUAAGCGGAUGGCCCUUUUCUCUGCGUUUGAUGUGACCAAAAUAGCUGAUGCGCCCCACUCUCGCCCUCCUAUUGAUAGUUCUACCAUCUAGUAAUACUCUAGCAUUAAAUGUUAUUUCGGGGGACUUUGUACAAUUAAUAAACAUGUUUCUUAAUAUCAUUUUUUCAUAGUUAGCUAACGAUACUCUAUUUCGUUUUGUGAGUACAGCUACCUUGAUCCCAUACAAAAGCGAGGGUGCCAAUACAGUAUUAUAGAUCAUCUUGCCUAACUCCCAACUUGGAUUAAUUUUUUUGCAGAACUCAACAAUAAACCUGGAUGAUUUCAAGGUAUUUUGACAUCGUUGCCUAAUUGUCAUUUUCCUGUUCAGAGUUGACGUCAUACAUGCUCUUAAAUAUUUCAAAUGCUGGCAUACCUUGAAUAAUUUUCCGUUCAGUGCUAUAUGUGUGGGUAAUUCGGCUUUAUCAUUUGGCAACCGAACCAAAACUUGACUCUUGUCACAGUUUAUUUCCAACCCUACUUCUUUAAGCUUUUCCUCUAAUAUUUUUAGUAUCUUCUCAAUUUCCUCCUUGUUCAGCGCAAUCAACAGUAUAUCAUCGGCGAAUACCAGUAUUAGUGGAAGCAGCAGGCAUCCCACCUCCAUUAGUUUGAUCUCGGGUAUAUCUGCCACUAGUUUUAUUAGUAUGUCUUGCAUAAUAAGAUUAAAAAGCAUUGGUGACAGCGGGCAUCCCUGUUUAAUCCCCUUUCCUCUUUUAACCUCGCUUGACAGUUCAUUUUCCCAUAGCACCCUGGUUAAUUCUCCAUUUAUACAUAAAAGCACUCUAUCCACUAACCGGGAAGGUACUUUUAACCUUAAUAGAAUAUCUCUAAUACUUUGUAAUUUAACAGUAUCAAAUGCCUUUCUGAUAUCUAAUGCUAGUAUGUAUAGGUUUUGCCAGCGUUCCAGUUUUCCUCCAUUACCCGUCUUGCAACAAAUAUAUGAUCGUCUGUUGACCUGUUUGUCGUGAAGGCUGCUUGAUGUAGUCCUGGUUCUCCAGUAAAUUUCUUUAGCUGGUUUGCAAUCCAUUUUGCGUAAAUCUUAUAUGCUGUGUUGCAGAGGGAGAUUCUCCUGAAGUCAUCUGCAUUCGCUGCGCCGGAUUUCUUUGGUAUUGGUAUUUGAGUUGUUUUAUACCAUUCGUUGGGCAUUUUGUUAUUUAUGUAAACAUUUUGAAGAAUUUCCACAAGUGAUUUUAUUGUCUCAUCGUCUGCGCAUUUAAUGUAUUCUACAUAUAUCCUGUCCGAUCCAGGUGCUCUUCCGUUGCUCGAUGUUUGGAUGAUUUCGUUAAUUUCUUCAAAGGUGGGCGGAUUUAGUAACGGUACAAAAUCAUGAUUUUCGCAGAAUUCGACUUCUAGUCCUUCACACGAAUGUAAAAUAUCGUCCCAUGUUUUUGCGCUGAUUUUCGCAAAUUUUCGUUUCCUUGUGCUACCGAAUCCUUUCAAGUAACUGUAUGUUUUCCUUAUGCGGGUUCCUACAUCAAAAUCAUUCAAGUUUUGGAAAAACUUGAUCAUUUCCUUUUCUUUAUUAUCCUUGACCGCCUUGGAGAAUUCUUGUCUUCGGUUGUUGACCGUGAAUUUAAAAUUUUGCAUAUCAGGAUGUUUAAUCGAAACCUUAAUAGCGGACUUUAAUCGAUUUAGUGCCCUCUUUCGUUUAGGUGUGCUUGGUAUUAUGGAUUCUUUUAAGGUAGCAUGUGCAGCUUUCUUUAUUCUACUGGUUAAUUCCGCGUAGCACUUCUCGACUGAAUUUAUGGAUGUUUUAGUUUGGAUGGUUAAGCUUUUCAAUUUUUCCUGGUAUCGUUUCUUUAUUUGUAUAUCCUUUUGGGUUAAUUGCAUGAAGUUAAGAAAAAAAAGUGUUUUCUAAGUCAAUUUUGGGUCGCUGAUCGCGAAAAUCAUAUUCAUUUUCUUUUUCAAAGAACCGUUUUUGUGAUUUUUUAAAAAAGGUGUUUUUGAGCACUUUUUGCAGUUUUUGGCCAAUAUCUCAGGAAUGAAUCUUCCGAUUAACACAAACGACUCAACAAGGUAUUGAUGUGCCCAUUCCAAAAAUGUAUAACAUGUUAGGAUAAAAUAUCAACAAUUUAGGGUUAAGAG